GAUCUCGAGCGAGCUCCGAAAACAGCAGCAUCAACCCCACGGACGGCGCGAUUUACGUACCACCAUCCAUGAAAACCACGCCGAGCAGCUCCGGGCACCGAGUUGCAGAGAAAACCAAAAAAUAAAAUAAAAUAAAAUAAAAAUGCGGAAGCAAUGUUAUUACCUUAAAUAAUAGGGGAACUCAUCGAACGUAACGGUGCUUUCCCUGCCGUCGACGAUCUGCCUCAUCAACUCCUGCUCGAUCUUCUCCGCCGUCACCUCGCCGGCCGGGCAGUUCCCCCCGCCGACCCACCGGCUAACCGUCUGUCCGGAGGCCAGCCCGAGGCCGACGCCGACGCCGAGCCCCACGCUGAGAGCCGACAGCAACACGUUCUUCUGUUCCAUGCCGCCGCCCGAUCAGGAGAAGAAAAAACCGACAGACCACACGCCCUCUCCAAAAGCCUUUCCUGGCCUUCAAAAGAAAAGACACAGCAACAACAAGACAAUCUCGGAACGGGAAAACGAAGGACGAGAGGCGGGACAAGUAUAUGCACGGAGCGAUUCAAGGAAUCCGAAAGAGAGAGGGAGGGAGGGAGGGAGGGAAGGAGUGAUUGGUUGCUGCGGAAUGCAAUGAAUGUUUUUCUGCGUUUUCCUGUUAUUUUCAGACAAGGAAGAGGAGAGAGAGAGAGAGAUGGGGGUGGGGUUGUGCUGUUGGGUAUAUAUGUCCGAAGAAAACGUACAGAGCAUGAAGACGGGUUUGGUUGGCAGGUAAAAAUGGAGGACUUCGGUGGGGAAGGGGGAGCAAGAC
rnacentral:lncRNA from 1 species